rnacentral:lncRNA from 1 species
UAAUUAAAAUACAUGUGUAUGCCUUUUUAGAUAAAUUCCAUCAGACCAGUUUCUGUCUGGUUGGAAAAUAAUAACUGCCUAUUUGCUAAGUGCCCCUGCCCAAGCUAUCAUUCACAUCUUUUUCAUACUACAUAUAAAUUUAUAUCCUUUAUUUUAGUUAGUACAAACUUAAAAAGAGAAAGUAAAAGUCAAAUGCUUCUACGACUUCAGACUAAGAAAAAGAACUUUUGAGGUUGAAUGUUCCUGAAAUUUUUCUUUUCAUGCAACUACGGACAUGACUUCAAAAGUUGAUGUUACUAAAAAUGUAAGAUAUGAAAGAUAUUUGAAGACUCAGAGAAGGUGGAUUUUCAUUUUAACAAGUCACAUAUAUAUUCUAGAUAUCCUCUUAUUCGUAACUAAGAGAGUCAAAUCAGAUGAAAGAAUCUAAAAAUUUCCCUUUGACUGUGUUAAGUAGAAGUAGUAGAGGCAUAUUGGCCAAAUCUUGAGUGUUUGCAAAUUGACUCUUAAGGCUAUAGGCUGGCACAGGUCAUUGAAGCCCUAGCUUUUUAUCUUUAAUUUUAAAAUCCCCAAACAAU